rnacentral:rRNA from 1 species
GGCAAUGAUAGGUAGGCGGCCUUAACGGGUGGUCGCCCACACUGGGAUUGAGAUACGGCCCAGACUCCUACGGGAGGCAGCAGUCGAGAAUAGUCUACAAUGGUCGGAAGACUGAUAGUGCGACGCCGCGUGAACGAUGAAUCCCUUCGGGGUGUAAAGUUCUUUUAUAUGUGAGCAGUGCUUCUUAUAUUAAGAGUAUGGGGAGAGAGAUAUUAGCAUAUGAAUAAGCAACGGCUAACUCCGUGCCAGCAGCCGCGGUAACACGGGGGUUGCGAGCGUUGUCCGGAAUUACUAGGCGUAAAGGGCAGGCAGGCGGAUCCAUAAGUUUAUCGUUUAAGGCGUCGGCUUAACCGGCGUAGGGCGGUAGAUACUGUGGAUCUGGAAUGCGGUUGGGGAAGACAGAAUUCCUGGUGUAGCGGUGGAAUGCGCAGAGAUCAGGAGGAAUACCGAAGGCGAAGGCAGUCUUCCAAGCCGUUAUUGACGCUCAACUGCGAAGGUGUGGGUAUCAAACAGGAUUAGAUACCCUGGUAGUCCACACAGUAAACGAUAAUCACUGGGUGUCGGGUUCGCAUAGGAUUCGGUGCCGUAGCUAACG